rnacentral:lncRNA from 1 species
CUAACAUCAAUGUGUUUGGUGCGUUCGUGAAAAUUAGGAUUUUUGCAUAUAUGUAUAGAAGAAUGACUAUCUGAAUAUACUACUACAUAGUCAUUUAAAACACAAAGUUAAUGAAAAAAACUUCGAAGCCACAAAGCCCCUUUAAUUGCUUUAGUGAUAGCAAUAUAUUCUGAUUCUGUCGUGGAUAGUGCAACUGUUUAUUGUAAUUGCGAUUUCCAACUAAUGCAAGAGUUAGAUAAAGUAAACACAUAUUUAGAAGUAAAUUUUCUAUUAUCCCUAUCUUCCACAUAAUCUACAUCUACAAAACCAACAAUUUCCUUUAAAUGCCUUAAUAUCCAUUUUAAGGCUUCUCAAUGACCGGGACCCAGAUUAGACGUACCUACUAAGAGUAAUAACAUCAAAAGCUAAAUUCAAUCUAGUGAAAACCACCAAAUACAUAAUAGAUCCAAUCACGUUCGAGUAUGGAAUCUUACUUAUGUAUUAUAUUUCUUUUUAUUACAAGGA